GCCCUUAUAGCUCAGUGGUAGAGCGCGUCACUCGUAUCCCAUCUCCGACGAUAUCCUUUCAGGUUAAAGUGCGAGGUAUAACUGCGAUAUGACGAGGUCGGCGGUUCAAUCCCGCCUGGGGGCA